AACUAUAAUAACUUUUAGUAGCCAGUCUUCAACAAGAGAAGAUGGAUCCUGAGAAAUGGCAAGUGACAGGGGAAAUUCCAGCUGUUGUGCUGUUUUCUCUUUUGCAUUUCCAGGAAGUUGUGUCCUCGUGAUCCAUCUUGGCAAGGCAGCUUCCUCGUGGAAUUUUAGCACUUUCAAGGCCAGAAUAUUGCAUGUGAAGACUGAAAAAUUCCUUUAAAUAAACAAUCUUGAGAUCCAAAAUAUUUGACAAUACGUAUUUGAACAGCUGGCUGUGUUGUAAUCUGAUAUUUUUAAAUUGU
rnacentral:lncRNA from 1 species